UACGUAGGUCCCGAGCGUUGUCCGGAUUUAUUGGGCGUAAAGCGAGCGCAGGUGGUUUAUUAAGUCUGGUGUAAAAGGCAGUGGCUCAACCAUUGUAUGCAUUGGAAACUGGUAGACUUGAGUGCAGGAGAGGAGAGUGGAAUUCCAUAUGUAGCGGUGAAAUGCGUAGAUAUAUGGAGGAACACCGGUGGCGAAAGCGGCUCUCUGGCCUGUAACUGACGCUGAGGCUCGAAAGCGUGGAGAGCAAACAGG
rnacentral:rRNA from 1 species